rnacentral:rRNA from 1 species
CACGUAGGGUGCGAGCGUUGUCCGGAAUUACUGGGCGUAAAGAGCUCGUAGGCGGUUUGUCACGUCGUCUGUGAAAUCCUCCAGCUUAACUGGGGGCGUGCAGGCGAUACGGGCAUAACUUGAGUGCUGUAGGGGAGACUGGAAUUCCUGGUGUAGCGGUGAAAUGCGCAGAUAUCAGGAGGAACACCGAUGGCGAAGGCAGGUCUCUGGGCAGAUACUGACGCUGAGGAGCGAAAGCAUGGGUAGCGAACAGGA